GUUUCCCAGUCACGAUAGCACAAAAAACCUGCUGAAGUGAAACAUCUCAGUAAGCAGAGGAAAAGAAAACGAAUGCGAUUCCGUUAGUAGUGGCGAACGAAAGCGGACCAGCCCAAACCACGGGGAUUUAUCCCUGUGGGGUUGUAGGACUCCGAUAUGAGACUCAUGACGAUAAUAGAACGCUCUGGAAAGUGCGGCCAUAGAGGGUGAUAGCCCCGUAAAUGAAAUCCAAUUGAGCUCUAGGAGUAUCCUGAGUAAUACGGCACACGUGAAACGUCGUAUGAAUCCACGCAGACCACUGCGUAAGGCUAAAUACUACUUAUCGACCGAUAGCAUACAAGUACCGCGAGGGAAAGGUGAAAAAAACCCCUGUUAGGGGAGUUAAAAGAUUCUGAAACCUGUUGCCUACAAGCUGUCAGAGCCUCUUUAUGAGGUGAUGGCGUACCUUUUGCAUAAUGGGCCCGGGAGUUAUGGUCAGCGGCAAGCUUAAGUGCUUACGGCACGGAGGCGAAGCGAAAGCAAGUCUGAAAUGGGCGGCAGUCGCUGGCUACAUACCCGAAGCGGAUGUGAUCUAUCCAUGAGCAGGAUGAAGCGUGGGUAAUACCACGUGGAGGUCCGAACUAGUCACCCUUGAGAAGGUGUUGGAUGACUUGUGGAUAGGAGCGAAAGACUAAUCAAACACCGUAAUAGCUGGUUCUUUCCGAAAUAUAUUUAGGUAUAGCGUCGUGUAUAAGUUGUGGGGGUAAAGCACUGAAAAGGCUAGGGGUCACACCAGAUUACCAAACCUUAUCAAACUCUGAAUACCACAAUGGUAAGCACGGCAGUCAGACGGCGGGGGAUAAGCUCCGUCGUCAAAAGGGAAACAGCCCUUGACCAUCAGUUAAGGUCCCAAAUCGUAUACUAAGUGGAAAAGGAUGUUGACUUACAUAGACAGUGGGGAUGUUGGCUUAGAAGCAGCCAUCAUUUAAACAAAGCGUAAUAGCUGACCCAUCGAGUGAGUCUGCGCCGAAAAUGAUCGGGACUAAGUAUACAACCGAAACUAUGGACUCGAAAGAGUGGUAGGAAAGCGUUCCAACAGCGUCGAAGCACAAGCGGUAAGCGAGUGUGGAGCGGUUGGAAGUGAUAAUCCGGGCAUGAGUAACGAUAAAUACGGUCAAAAUCCGUAUCGCCGUAAAGAUAAGGUUUCCUGGGCCAGGCUCGUCCUCCCAGGGUUAGGCGGGAGCUAAGAUGAGGCCGGAAGGCGUAAUCGAUGCACAAACGGUUAAUAUUCCGUUCCCUGCUUGCAACUAUACUGUUGGCACGGAAGACUGGGGUGUAUCAAGGUUUUGAUAUACUGGAGCGAAAGGCUACGGCCGAUUGCGUAUACAUGAAGGUCUUCACAAGAAAAGCCAAUGGGUUUACUAUGCAGGUAGCCCGUACCGUAAACCGACACAGGUAUCUGGGAUGAGUAUUCUAAGGCGCGUGAGUUAAAUCUCUCUAAGGAACUAGACAAAUUAGCCCCGUAUCUUCGGUAGAAGGGGUGCCAGCUUCGGCUGGUCUCAGUAAAGUGGUAGAACCGACUGUUUAGCAAAAACACAGCUCUCUGCUAAGUCGCAAGACGACGUAUAGGGAGUGACAUGUGACCAAUGCGGAAAGGUGAACGACCCUUGUCUUAAAGCUCGGGUUCUAAGCCCCCGUGAAUGUCGGCCGUAACUAUAACGGUCCUAAGGUAGCGAAAUUCCUUGUCGGGUAAGUUCCGACCUGCACGAAUCAUGUAACGAGUUCUACAUUGUCUCGGAGAGAUGCUCAGUGAAAUUGUAGUCGCGGUAAAGAUGCCGCGUCCCCGCAGCAGGACGGAAAGACCCUAUGCACCUUUACUGUAACUUAUUAUUGGGACUUGGUUUAGCAUGUGUAGAAUAGGUGGGAGACUGUGAGACGUGGCCGUCAGGUUGCGUGGAGUCGGAAUGUGAAAUACCACCCUUGCUGAAUUAGGUUUCUAACCCUAG
rnacentral:rRNA from 1 species